GGUUCUGAACAGGUGGGAACUUAUAUCCUGAGAAGGACCUGAGGAAAGCUACCCAAAGAUCAUGACAGAUUGGCCGAAGGACAAAUUGCAAACGAAAAGGUGAAAUUUACCAGUAAGAAAUGCAAGGUCCAGUCCCCGGGCCUCAACAAAGCAAAACAUCAACAGCACAAGCAGAGACUGGAGGAAAGAGAGCUCAGCAAGAGCAGAGAGGAAAACGCAGUUCUCUCGACAGGAAGCCAGGCGGGUGUGAGUCAGCGGUGGGGUGGCCGCCAGCCCCGAGCCAGGGGGACCUCCAGCCUCCAGGCAGGGAGGGGGCAGCUGGCUCCACUCGGCCUGGCGCUCUGAUCCCAGGAGCGCACUCAGUCCUGGUAGCAGCUCGGAGGAGGUGGAUCGAUGGCCUGAGAACCUGGAAGGAAUGGCGGCAUCGACCAGCCACCCUCACACCGGAUGCCAGCGGGACUCCCAGGUGAACAGAGCAAGUCUCCCUUACAGCUGGAAUACAGACUCUGAUGGUCUCUCCUGCCACUUUGGCCUCAAGAUCGCUUCUGCAGACCUGACGACAGUCUGCUAGCCACCUAAUUAAAUAAUCAUCUAGUUCCCAGUACUACGAGGUGGGCAUUUGCUUCUCAAUGUGCUGCAGAUCGUAAAGCAGAAGGAUGACAAGCUCCAAGACUUAAAUUCUUGGCUCAAACCACGGUUGGAAAACUAGGCUUUCUAUGAUAGUGCUAAGACUCUCUUCUAGCUUACGUGCGCAGGUUGAGAUCACCCACAACGAACCUGGGUUUAACGCUGCAAGUUGCCGAAUUAUUCCACCGGGUCUUAUAAGUGAAACGAAGGGCACGCUUCGAAAAGACUGGACCUGGAGAGUUGGAAUGGGGACAUUUGAUGGCAUUUGGCUGAAUCUGAGCCCCACUGGGAGGACCACCAAGGAGUCAGACUCCUCGGGAAGGAAGGUUUCGAUCACCUCACCAGGCCAACAACGCUGAUCAGCUAAGGCAUUGUCUUUCCCCUUUCUUUUCCCUACUGUUUUCUGUAGGAUGUGUUGGUGGCAGUGAACUCGAGCUAAGUGGCAUCGUUCAGCCUGUCAGGCACCCGCAGUAGUGAUAGCAGGUUUCUCACCAGAACUAGUUCUGAGUUGUGGUUUGGGGUGUUUUUUCCUGGCUGUUUAACCUCAAAGCUGGUUCUCCAGCCCUCUCACCAUUUCUGUCAGAGACCCAAUAUCAUUCUGAUCAGCUCUUUUUCUGCUUAAAUCAGUCAGGAUCAGCUUCUGUUGCUUGCAAAUUAAAACCCUGACUAGUACAACAUCUACAAAGAGUGUGUGGUCAGUCCAAGUUUCCUCAUCUCUAAAACACACCGAAACUGAAUGAAGAAAUAAUAAAUAGAAAAGGAGAAAUUAAAGUUAGAAAAAUUAAAAAGUAGGACUUAUUAAUAAUCGAAAAACUGGUUCACUGCCAAAACAAAAAUCAAUAAAACAGAAAACACCAACUAACCUAACCAACAGAGGAAAAAGGAACAGAGCACAAAUUCACAAUGACAAGGAAGCAAUACCUCUGAGAAGAGUAAAAACAAAUUAAAAAAAUCAUAAAAGCAUUUCAUAAAAUUAUAUGUGAUGAAUUUGAUGGCCUGGAUGAAACAGACACUUUUCCAGGAAGAGUAUAAUUUAUAAAACUGACUCAGGGAGAGAUAGACUAAACAGACCAAUUUCCAUAAA